UUUAGAAGAACCACUCAAGAGGGUCUGAAACUGCAUUCUACAUGUCUUCUGAGAAUCGCUCUGCAAGGUGCAAAUAAAAUGGCAAAUCUCGAUUAAGGAAUUCAGCGAUAAGCAAGCAAGCAAGCUUCACUCUUCUCUUCCAGUGUAAUCAUGGAUAUGCAAAUAUUCUCCAUGUCUGAAAUAUUGCACAAGACGAUACGGCAGCUGUGCGAAAAGCUGGUUGAUUUCAAACUGCAGUUGGAUGCCCAGCCCCAGUGCACUUCAAGCACAAAUAACAUACCACGUUGUUC